GAUCAUUGUCGAAACCCUGCCCAGCGGAAAGACCCGUGAAC
rnacentral:rRNA from 1 species